UGCCUAGGAAUCUGCCUGGUAGUGGGGGAUAACGUUCGGAAACGGACGCUAAUACCGCAUACGUCCUACGGGAGAAAGCAGGGGACCUUCGGGCCUUGCGCUAUCAGAUGAGCCUAGGUCGGAUUAGCUAGUUGGUGGGGUAAUGGCUCACCAAGGCGACGAUCCGUAACUGGUCUGAGAGGAUGAUCAGUCACACUGGAACUGAGACACGGUCCAGACUCCUACGGGAGGCAGCAGUGGGGAAUAUUGGACAAUGGGCGAAAGCCUGAUCCAGCCAUGCCGCGUGUGUGAAGAAGGCCCUCGGGUUGUAAAGCACUUUCAGCGAGGAAGAACGCCUAGUGGUUAAUACCCAUUAGGAAAGACAUUACUCGCAGAAGAAGCACCGGCUAACUCCGUG
rnacentral:rRNA from 1 species